GUUGGACCCGGCUCCGCCCUACCCCACGGGGCCGCCUGGAGAGGUGCUGGGAGCUGGGUGGAGCUUAGAGGAAUUAAACUUUGGCCCUGCGCCUCGUCCAGCCUAGGUUCCACCCUUUUCUGGGAACGUGAGUAUCAACCAAGCAGGAAACUGCUCAACAGUCACAUCUUGAAAGUAACUUGAGGCAACUGCAGGAGGGCUGCAUGGCGGGAAAGAAAUUGCUGAAAACAGGCUGGGUGAGCUGGCUCGUACCUGUGAUCCCAACACUUUGGGAAGUGAAGUUGGGCGGAUCACUUGAGGUG
rnacentral:lncRNA from 1 species